GGACGAACGCUGGCGGCGUGCUUAACCCAUGCAAGUCGAACGGAAAGGCCCUGCUUUUGUGGGGUGCUCGAGUGGCGAACGGGUGAGUAACACGUGAGUAACCUGCCCUUGACUUUGGGAUAACUUCAGGAAACUGGGGCUAAUACCGGAUAGGAGCUCCUGCUGCAUGGUGGGGGUUGGAAAGUUUCGGCGGUUGGGGAUGGAUUCGCGGCUUAUCAGCUUGUUGGUGGGGUAGUGGCUUACCAAGGCUUUGACGGGUAGCCGGCCUGAGAGGGUGACCGGCCACAUUGGGACUGAGAUACGGCCCAGACUCCUACGGGAGGCAGCAGUGGGGAAUAUUGCACAAUGGGCGGAAGCCUGAUGCAGCAACGCCGCGUGCGGGAUGACGGCCUUCGGGUUGUAAACCGCUUUCGCCUGUGACGAAGCGUGAGUGACGGUAAUGGGUAAAGAAGCACCGGCUAACUACGUG
rnacentral:rRNA from 1 species